rnacentral:rRNA from 1 species
UACGUAGGGGGCAAGCGUUGUCCGGAAUUAUUGGGCGUAAAGAGCGUGUAGGCGGUCCGGUAAGUCAGCUGUGAAAUGUCAAGGGCUCAACCCUUGAAUGCCGGUUGAUACUGUCGGGCUAGAGUCCGGAAGAGGCGAGUGGAAUUCCCGGUGUAGCGGUGAAAUGCGCAGAUAUCGGGAAGGAACACCAAUGGCGAAGGCAGCUCGCUGGGACGGUACUGACGCUGAGACGCGAAAGCGUGGG